UACGGGGGGGGGGCAAGCGUUGUCCGGAAUUAUUGGGCGUAAAGAGCUCGUAGGCGGCUUGUCACGUCGGGGUGUGAAAGCCCCGGGGCUUUAACCCCGGGUCUGCAUUCGAUACGGGCUAGCUAGAGUGUGGUAGGGGAGAUCGGAAUUCCUGGUGUAGCGGUGAAAUGCGCAGAUAUCAGGAGGAACACCGGUGGCGAAGGCGGAUCUCUGGGCCAUUACUGACGCUGAGGAGCGAAAGCGUGGGGAGCGAACAGG
rnacentral:rRNA from 1 species